rnacentral:rRNA from 1 species
CGUGCCAGCAGCCGCGGUAAUACGUAGGUGGCAAGCGUUGUCCGGAAUUACUGGGUGUAAAGGGAGCGUAGGCGGGGAAAUAAGUUGAAUGUUAAAACUAUCGGCUCAACCGAUAGCAGCGUUCAAAACUAUUUCUCUUGAGUGGAGUAGAGGUAAGCGGAAUUCCUAGUGUAGCGGUGAAAUGCGUAGAUAUUAGGAGGAACACCAGUGGCGAAGGCGGUUUACUGGGCUCUAACUGACGCUGAGGCUCGAAAGCGUGGGUAGCAAACAGGAUUAGAUACCCUGGUAGUCCACGCUGUAAACGAUGAUUACUAGGUGUGGGGAGGUCAAACUUUCCGUGCCGGAGUUAACACAAUAAGUAAUCCACCUGGGGAGUACGACCGCAGGGUUGAAACUCAAAGGAAUUGACGGGGGCCCGCACAAGCAGUGGAGUAUGUGGUUUAAUUCGAAGCAACGCGAAGAACCUUACCAGAUCUUGACAUCCUAAGAAGGCUGUAGAAAUACGGCUGUGCCUUCGGGAGCUUAGAGACAGGUGGUGCAUGGUUGUCGUCAGCUCGUGUCGUGAGAUGUUGGGUUAAGUCCCGCAACGAGCGCAACCCUUACCAUUAGUUGCUACGCAAGAGCACUCUAAUGGGACUGCCGUUGACAAAACGGAGGAAGGUGGGGAUGACGUCAAAUCAUCAUGCCCUUUAUGAUCUGGGCUACACACGUACUACAAUGGCUACUAACAAAGUGAAGCAAAACCGCGAGGUGGAGCGAAACACAAAAAGUAGUCUCAGUUCGGAUUGUAGGCUGAAACUCGCCUACAUGAAGUCGGAAUUGCUAGUAAUCGCGGAUCAGAAUGUCGCGGUGAAUACGUCCCCGGGCCUUGUACACACCGCCCGUC